GGGGGAGCGCUAGGAUGGUGUUGUGGGCCAGAGGGACUGGUUUCCGGAGGGCUAGCAGGACAUU